rnacentral:lncRNA from 1 species
CACUUAUUCUUACUCUGAGCAUAUUUGAAGCUCAGAGAGGACAGUUCAGCUUACCAUCAUACUUUGUGUCAUUUGGACAGGAGAGCUGCUGCAUCUCAAAAUGGAGAAAUGAGGGGAGGAAUGAGUUGGCUGAGGUGGCCAAAGACUCUCCUAGGAGGAAGUUCUGCCAACUACCAUGGAAAAAAUAGUCUUGUUGGAUCUUGAUUACAUUUUCCGAUCCCUAUAAGCUUAUCCAUCACUAACUCCCAGAGCUUUUCUAAGUGGGCUUAACUCUUCUCACCUCUGAGCACCCAGGAGGAACUUGUUCUCAAACUCCAAAGAAAAGCAUUUGGGAAAAUGGAUGGGAGCCAUUGAUGAAGCCCAAGAGCUCCUUGAUAUUUGAAUCUUUUUAUGGAAAGCUGUGUUUGGAGGCCCAAGUGAGAGCGACUCAUCAACACUCAUUCACAAAUUCUGAGAUUCAAAAAAUAACGUGAUUUCAAUAAUUGUGACUUUUCCUCGGUACCUUCCCUGAUUUUCAGAUAUGAGAAGAAAAAGCAAAUAAUGAAAAUACCACUGUAGAACUCUUAGGGUAUUUUGGGGUGAGUAUCCGGGGUGGGGGAAGGUGGGGGAAGAAUGGUAAAAUCAGUCUUUGUGACA